rnacentral:sRNA from 1 species
AAGGCCAAAACACGGGUAACCGUGUGACGGAAAGCCUACGGGUCCACGAGACGGAUUCGAUUUUUGACGGAGACCAAGGCGGCGAGG